rnacentral:lncRNA from 1 species
CAACUUGCAUGAAAAUACUAACUCUUGCUGACCUAAUUUACUUUAAUAAAAAUGUUGAAAAUACUAACCCUUGCAAAAAUUUAAUAUGCAACAACACUCCCUUCAUAAUCUUUGAGUCACUUGGUUUUACCUUGGAAUAACACCAAAAAGUGGUCAACAGUAAUAUAAGUCUAAAUAGCAUGAAUUUUUACAACAUUUUUUUAAAUAGAGUUUGUGUGUCCAAUAAAUAUAUAGGUAUAAUUUCCCCUGCUUAGGGAUACUUUCCAACACAUGUAACUGGAAAAUUCCAUGGGAUAUCCAUGCUUAAAUGAAAUAAUACCUUGAUCCAAUCAUGAAGUAGAGAAAUAACUCUUGCAUUCUCCUAGUUCAUCCAAAGUUACUAUAGCUCCUGAAAAUCAUUUAAAAUAUAUUUAGAAAGACAAAAAUCAGAAGAACAAAACUAACAUCCAAAACUUAUUUUAAGAGUAGUUAGGAUCUCUUGGUUUUUUUUAUCAGCUAAUUAAAUUAAAGGAUACUUAAGGGGCCCUUUAACAAAAAAAUGCAAAAGCAACAAAGAUGUUCUAAUCAUCUAUGUCUCUAUUACAACCCUACACUAGUGCUUAUAACAGAGAAAUGCGCAGCUAAGAAUCCCUUUAAUGCAUCAUCAGUGCAUAAACAAGACAACACUAUAUUCCACACAUUAUGCAUCACCCUAAAAAUUCAGAAAGCACAACACUUUAAUUACAUAGGACAGAACCAGUGGUGACACUAACAAGUCAGAGGAGCAUUAUCCAAACUUCACAACAUGACCAUGAUUAGGAGGGCCUCUGGAAAACUCCCACUAGAGAAUGAUGUGAUUGGAGGAUAUGUAACUAUAAUACCAUAAAGCAUGCCACCUUCCAUCAGAAUUCCACCGCAAUACGAAAUGACUUAGCCAUGAUACUUCCUCGUGCAUAAAGAUAUGUGCCUGUUUUAUGUGUGGUAGGAAUUGAUUUCUAGACAACACCUGCAUCAACUGCAUAGACGAAUACCGCAGAAAAUAUAACAGUUUAAGGCUCCUUAGUGCAAAACGCAGGUAAUAACCAGCCAUCAAAGGAAAGGAUGAGCAAAAAACAUAUUUCAUAUCUAGAUAGAGUGAACAACCGCAUGUCCCAGGGCAUGGUUAAAUAAUGUUGCUACAAAUUCCUCGAGCCUACUCUCAUAUAUCACAAAGUAUAUCAUAAAUGAUUUUGUGGUUUUUUUCAUAAUGUUCAAAAGGGGAUUGUAUGGUAAAACUGAAAUUGUUAUAUGCUAAAGUUUUGGAAUUUGAUUAAUAUUAUUAUUGGGUUGUUAAGAUUUAAUUAGUUAGGAUUUUAUCAUUUAUUUAUUUUAUUAGGAUUUUAUCAUUUAUUUAUUUUAUUAGGAUUUUAUCAUUUAUUUAAUUAGUUAGGAUUUUAUUAGGAUUUUAUUGGGAUUUUAUGAUAUUUAGUACUCUAUAAAUAGAGUAUUGAACUAUUAUUUGAGAUAUGAAUAAUAUAUGCAAUUUGUUUCCUUUUCUCAAUUCUCUAUCAAUUCUCUAUCAUUGUUCUUGUUCUUGGUAUAAUCGGAAACCACCUAAAGGUUCCCUUUGUCCAAAGCCUAAUCGUUCUUCGAAAUCUCUUACGAGAUGACCUAGACGCUUCUACACACGAUCGUUCAUAUCAAUUGGUAUCAGCUAGGACCUUCCAGUACUUUCAAUGGCAGAUUCAACACGCUUCGCUCAAGCUGCUAAGGAGAUGGAAGAUCGAAUCUCCCAAAGGAUGGAUAAUAGGUUUCUGGAACUCGCGAAUACGUUGAAGGAAACCUUGACUCUUUCUAUAAAAGACACCAUGCAGGAAUUACUUACUCAAUCUCAAGGAGAAGGGGCCCAUGGCCUCUCCAAUGACAACAUGGGGUUUGGUGCAAUAUGCGAUGAUCCCAUGGUUGAGUUGUUGCGUUUACGACAAAAGACUUCAGUUGAUGCCUAUCAUGAAGAGUUCAAUUCAAUCAUUACAACAUUGAAGUUAUCUGAUGAUCAUAUUCUAGGGUGCUUCCUUGGUGGAUUAAAGAAAGAAAUCCAGAUGAUGGUAAGAAUGUUCCGACCUCAGUCUCUACAACAUGCGUUUACAUUGGCCAGGACGUAUGAAGGACAUAAUUCAAGCAAUUCGAUGGCCAAAUUCCACAGGGGAGUCUUGGGUCCAGCACCAGUGCCUAUAUCGUCGUCUGCUUCAAUCAAUGUGGCCCCUAAACCCAAACCAACACACCACUUCCCACUUGAGUUCAUAGCAGAACGUAGGGCCAAAGACCUUCUUCACGUCAUGGAGAUGGAGGAAGAUGACUCAUAUGAUAGUCCUCCCAGUUAUGUGACUGAAUUAUUGCAAAGGAAUGAGCCACAAAUCACAGUCAACGCAUUAACCAUAGUGGUUGGGUUCAGAACCAUGAGAAUAGUUGGAUAUCAUAAAAAACGACCUUUACAUAUUCUCAUUGAUAGUGGCAGCACUCAUAAUUUCAAAGAUACCCAAAUGGAUAAAAAAUAUGGGUGCAUAAUUGAUACGAUUGCCCAUUUGAAUGUCAUGGUAAGCUGAGCUCUACCACAAACCUUAAAAAAAUUAAGAAGGUUUUUGGGCUUAGCUGGAUAUUAUAGAAGAUUUGUUCGUGGGUAUGACGUCAUUGCUACACCUGAUAUGCUUAAGAAGGAUAAUUUCAUUUGAAGACGAAGUACCAUUGUUCCAUUCUUGAGGGCAAGAAUGUUGUUGAGGGGAGGGCAUUGUUAUAUGCUAAAGUUUUGGGAUUUGAUUAAUAUUAUUAUUGGGUUGUUAAGAUUUAAUUAGUUAGGAUUUUAUCAUUUAUUUAUUUUAUUAGGAUUUUAUUAGGAUUUUAUCAUUUAUUUAAUUAGUUAGGAUUUUGUUAGGAUUUUAUUAGGAUUUUAUGAUAUUUAGUACUCUAUAAAUAGAGUAUUGAACUAUUAUUUGAGAUAUGAAUAAUAUAUGCAAUUUGUUUCCUUUUCUCAAUUCUCUAUCAAUUCUCUAUCAUUGUUCUUGUUCUUGGUAUAAUCGGAAACCACCUAAAGGUUCCCUUUGUCCAAAGCCUAAUCGUUCUUCGAAAUCUCUUACGAGAUGACCUAGACGCUUCUACACACGAUCGUUCAUAUCAGAAAUCGAGAAAGAAAAACUCAAAAAAAUUUAUUCCAAUCAAAUAAUCUUACCUCUGACGGUAGGGUUUGACUCGCUAAUGGAUGCACUAUUCUUUGCCACUUCACUACUUCGAUUUUUCAAAGUUAGGGUUGAAUACGAAAAUCGUGUGCUCUCAAAUGGGGAAGCUUCACUCUUAGAUUUCGAUUUUGGGUUUCGAUUUGGCAACGAGUUUCAUACAUUGGAUUUGGAAACCAGUAAGCUUUGGGAUUUCGCUUUUGGGAUUUGGCUUUUGGAUCUGGGAACAAAGUUCAGAGCUUUAAUUUGGAAACAUGGUUGAAAGUUUUGAUUUGUGAACGCAAUUUAGAGGUUUGAUCUGGCAACGACGUUCAGAGCUUUGGUUUGGAAACAACCUUCAGAGGUGAGAUUAAGAGGUUCAAAGGUGUUCUCAUUCAGGAUGGGCAUUUGUUUCUGAAACCAAAACAUUUUCAAAAUUUUCCAAACAAAAAAAA